UAUAUACUCCCUCCGUCCCAAAAUUCUUGUCUUAGAUUUGUCUACAUACGGAUCUAAGACAAGAAUUUUGGGACGGAGGGAGUAUUAU
rfam:Triticum aestivum genome assembly, contig: Triticum_aestivum_CS42_TGACv1_scaffold_500006_6BL